GCUUUUUCGUAUGUAUACCCGUAGCACUUUUUGAUAACCUCUCUUCUGUGAUCAAUAUUGAUGCAGAGUGGCAGAAGCCAAAGAGAGAAAUUUAACAACAGCAAUUCCUUCAGAUCUACAAUCCCUUAUGGAGCGCUGUGAGAAUCUGGAGAAGGAAGUCCGCUCAUUUCAGUGAUCAGUAUCGAUGCAGAGUGGCAGAAGCCAAAGAGAUAAAUCCAUUGACGUUUGAUACGCUGAACGGGAGAAAUGCCUGCACUGUGCUGCCUAUUAUGGGAACUCUGAUUGUCUCAAGACAAUUCUUUGUGCUUUUCAGACAUCACAUAUUGAGUCUUCUUGGGGAUAUGUUUGGUUUGUAAACGUUAAAGAUGGUAAAGGAGCAACACCUUUGCACUUAGCAGCCCGUCAAAGAUCAUAUUUUGCUAGACAAUGGUGCUCUAGCUUGUGCUUCUACCGGUAGAUAUUGUUUCCCAAGGAGUACAUCACUUCAUUUGGCUACAAAAGCUGGUUCUCUUGAUUGCAUCUGUGAAUUGUUAGCAUGGGAGCAGAUCAACUACAAAGAGAUGAUUCAGAAGCCUCUGCCAUCGCCUUCAGUGAUUGAGGGGAGUACGAACGAGGACAUAUACAGAUAGUGAUGAAUUGGCACAGCGCUUUAUUAUACGCGUGGUAAUACAAGCCCUCCAUCGCAUACUUGCUAUUGUCUCCUUCUUUCUCAUCUCUGUGUUCUUCUCCAUUACUAAAUAAAUGUUCUGAUAAGCAUACAAAAACAGCAAUCAACAAAGCGAAAAAACAAAUUUAGGUUGGUGCGCCUGCUUUCUGCGGGUAUGAAUUUACCAUUUCUAAAGGUUUUGAUUAUACAAAUUUUAUUCGUUGGGAUGAAGUUUGCUUAUUUUCAAAAAUUAGGGUUUGUUUGUAAGCUUAAUUAGGGGUUAAGGUUAGUGAAAUUAGCGUCUGUCGUGUGAAAAUUUGGAUCUGUUUGAGAACAGUUCAUAAUAGGAGCUUUGGUUGAGUUGUGGUUAGAUUUCAGCGAUGGAGGUGAAGGGGAUGGGAAAAAUUACAGCUCGACUAUACAAGAUAAAACUUCAGUCUAUACAUGAUCAGUUUUUGAAAAAUCUGCAGAAUAUCCUCAUUCGUGAACAGAAAGGACAAAAACAUCACAUUCAUAAACAGUGAAUAUUGUGCUUGGAUGGAUGACACAGCAGCUUCAUUGAUGAAUAGAACAGCAACGGCGACCUCCCUCUCCGCUAGAGCCGUCCAAAAGUGUAUUGAUUCCCAAUUUUGGUUUAAUAACUUUUACGAGCAACAAAUGUUGUUGGGUUCUACGUAGCUAUACAUUUUUUUAUCCUUUUCUGGUUAUUCUCUUCCAAUUCCAUUUCAUUGGCUCACUGUGGGGAUGGUUGCGAUGAAUUUUUUGAGCUUAAGCUGAUGGGCGAACAAAAGCAGUGCCUCUAAAGCUAGGGAGCCAGGGGUAAAGCUACGUACACACCACUCUACCUAGAUCUCAUUUGUGGAAUUACAUUAGAUUCAAAUGUCUUAAUUGAGUUGAGAGACUUCAAAUAUGAUUGAACAAUGCCUAAGGUUUCCGCCGUCAUGAACUUUGUUGUAAAUGGAGGUGGUAGCUGGUAAAUUUGUGCAUGCUUAUUCGACGAAUGAUUGGAUGCUUGGCGUUGCCUUUCGUGCCAGGCUUCAUGUGGAAGCUAACAAAGCAGACCUCGAAAUCGAUAUAUCAGAAAGGGCAUUAUUGUAGUUCCAGUUAGUCAAGUGAAUUAUUGGUGUCUUGUAAUGUGAGGAAAGGAAUGGUGGUGUAAAGUUUAGUCUCAUAUGUUCGACAAGGUUUGUUAGCUAGGGAACUGGUCCUUUGAAGAUGCUACAUUCAUUCUGAAUGUAAUUCGAACUUUCUAGCCAAGGUUCGAGGGAAGGAAAUGUUUAAUUUUAUUGGAGAGUAGUUGCUUAUUGUUCAGGCCUUCACUUAUACAGUUCAUUAGGUUAUGCGGUGCGAGUAUUAAGGAAAUCUCUGAGCUACAUAUAACAUAAUGCGAAUAUACCUUAUCGCGAGGCCCAAAACCACCCUCUCUGAGCUUGUUUUCACCCGAGAAGUUGUUUGUAGCUGUCUAUAUGAAUCCAAAAUUGAAUAUUUUCAGAUGUAUAUAUUCUUCCUCCUUUCUUUUCUUACCUAUGCAAGAGAACUUUGUAGAUACAUAUACAUGUUCAACAUAACUGACAUCCAAGUUUUUCCUGCUACCUUUAACAUACAGAGAGUUAUAUCAAUCUGGCAUCCUGUUCCAUUGUCACUGACGCUGGUGAAGCCAAUGCCACUGCAAAACUCCCAACACUUCUGCAUACAAUUGCCAAGACUAAUGUCUGCAUUAUCAUAGUAAUUAGUAAUAGUACCAGAUAUAUCUGCGAAGUCUCCUCUCUUUUGCCAAGACUAAGUGUUUUGCAGCAAAAUUUACUAUCAAUAAUGACAACUCUUGCUGAUUCAUUCUUAGCAGAAUUGGAUGAAUUAGACCAUAAUACAACUGAUGUUCAUGAACAUAUGGAGAAAGAUGGAUGUGAAAAAUUAGCAUUUAAUUAUCAUGAUGAUGAUGAUGAGUAUGAUCUAGAUAAUGUUUUGAAGCUACGAAAAUCACGUCAUUACAUUGACAUAAUGCAGAAAUUAAAGGCGAAGAUGCCCUAUUUUUCGCGAAUAAGGGUGAUGUUCUUCCUGAAGCAGAUGAUCCAGAAUAUAAGUUGAUAUAGAUUGUAACAUGUUAUCAGUUGAUAUUGAAGAUGAAAUUGACAUAUAAUCCAUAAUUUUAUGUGUGACAAGUACAGAUUGACAUUUCCCGACUUAGAUUCACUUGUUAAUCAUCCAA